CCUACGGGUGGCUGCAGUGAGGAAUAUUGGUCAAUGGUCGGAAGCCUGAACCAGCCAAGUAGCGUGCAGGAUGACGGCCCUACGGGUUGUAAACUGCUUUUAUAAGGGAAUAAAGAGUCUUACGUGUAGGGCUUUGCAUGUACCGUAUGAAAAAGGAUCGGCUAAUUCCGUGCCAGCAGCCGCGGUAAUACGGAAGGUGCGGGCGUUAUCCGGAUUUAUUGGGUUUAAAGGGAGCGUAGGCCGCAUGUCAAGCGUGCUGUGAAAUGUCCGGGCUCAACCCGGGCCGUGCCGCGCCAACUGGCGUUCUUGAGUUCGCGGGAAGCAGGCGGAAUGCGUGGUGUAGCGGUGAAAUGCUUAGAUAUCACGAAGAACCCCGAUUGCGAAGGCAGCUUGCUGCAGCGGCACUGACGCUGAUGCUCGAAAGCGCGGGUAUCGAACAGGAUUAGAUACCCUUGUAGUC
rnacentral:rRNA from 1 species